AGUCUCGCUGUGUCAUCCAGGCUGGAGAGCAGUCGUGCGAUGUCGGCUCACUGCAACCACUGCCUCCCAGGUUCAAACGAUUCUCCUGCCUCAGCCUCCUGAGUAGCUGAGAUUACAGGUCACCCCAAGAGAAAUAAGUCUCAGCCCAUCAACUUGCUGAUGCUACAACUUCUCUGAGAGAGGUGAGGAUGUUCUCAAAGGAGGCAAGAAUACUCAUUAUUGAAAAGGUAAAACAUGAUUUAAAAGACUUGUGAGAAAAGUUGUUUUCUAGAAGCACAACAAACAUCACGAGGAAGCCAUGUUGCUUAUCUGCAGGCUUUGAUAUUUCUGUGUUGGAUUAGUCUUUGAUAUUUGGAAAUCAGAUCAUCAUUAUUGGAGCAGUGGCGUUCUUAAUGAGGGAAAAAAAAACAUCUAAAGCGAACUAAAUGGUGGAGAGGAAAGUCUGUAAAUGUUAAUAGCACUUUACAACCAUUAUCCCAAUUUGCUCCUGUAACAAUCAUGAACGAGAAGAGUGAAGAACUAUUGGGCUGUUCCUUAGAAUAGAGACAGUGAUGUGGACAAGGCAGUAUACAACGUAUGGGCAUAAGAGGGAGUCUUAUGGGACCAGAUCCAGCAGCACUGGUCAGUGAUGGAUUGGAAGAAAACUCGCCCUUCAGCACAGAAGGUUUGAGCAGCACAGCUUUACUGGGUCCUCCUGGGUUAAUCCUUCCUAAACGUACUUGUCUUGUGAAUUAUUCCCUUACGCAACGAUUUUAAUGUCUUCUCGUCUUCCAUUGUAUCAUGUUGUAUUAGUCCGUUCUCACGCUGCUAGGAAGAAAUACCUGAGACUGGGUAAUUUAUAAAGAAAAGAGGUUUAAUUGACUCAGUGCCGCGAGGCCGGGGAG
rnacentral:lncRNA from 1 species